rnacentral:misc_RNA from 1 species
GAUGAAGAACGUAGCAAAAUGCGAUAAGUAGUGUGAAUUGCAGAAUUCAGUGAAUCAUCGAAUCUUUGAACGCACAUUGCGCCCCUUGGUAUUCCGAGGGGCAUGCCUGUUCGAGCGUCAUUAUAACCCCUCAAGCUCAGCUUGGUGUUGGGGCCUGCCGCACGGGCAGCCCUUAAAAUCAGUGGCGGUGCCAUCUGGCUCUAAGCGUAGUAAUUCUUCUCGCUAUAGAGUCCCGGUGGAUGCUUGCCAUUAACCCCCAAUUUUCUAUGGUUGACCUCGGAUCAGGUAGGGAUACCCGCUGAACUUAAGCAUAUCAAUAAGCGGAGGA